rnacentral:rRNA from 1 species
GACGAACGCUGGCGGCGUGCUUAACACAUGCAAGUCGAACGGAAAGGCCCUGCUUUUGUGGGGUGCUCGAGUGGCGAACGGGUGAGUAACACGUGAGUAACCUGCCCUUGACUUUGGGAUAACUUCAGGAAACUGGGGCUAAUACCGGAUAGGAGCUCCUGCUGCAUGGUGGGGGUUGGAAAGUUUCGGCGGUUGGGGAUGGACUCGCGGCUUAUCAGCUUGUUGGUGAGGUAGUGGCUUACCAAGGCUUUGACGGGUAGCCGGCCUGAGAGGGGGACCGGCCACAUUGGGACUGAGAUACGGCCCAGACUCCUACGGGAGGCAGCAGUGGGGAAUAUUGCACAAUGGGCGGAAGCCUGAUGCAGCAACGCCGCGUGCGGGAUGACGGCCUUCGGGUUGUAAACCGCUUUCGCCUGUGACGAAGCGUGAGUGACGGUAAUGGGUAAAGAAGCACCGGCUAACUACGUG